rnacentral:rRNA from 1 species
GACGAACGCUGGCGGCGUGCUUAACACAUGCAAGUCGAACGGUAAGGCCCUUCGGGGUACACGAGUGGCGAACGGGUGAGUAACACGUGGGUGAUCUGCCCUGCACUUCGGGAUAAGCCUGGGAAACUGGGUCUAAUACCGGAUAGGACCACUGCCUGCAUGGGUGGGGGUGGAAAGCUUUUGCGGUGUGGGAUGGGCCCGCGGCCUAUCAGCUUGUUGGUGGGGUGAUGGCCUACCAAGGCGACGACGGGUAGCCGGCCUGAGAGGGUGACCGGCCACACUGGGACUGAGAUACGGCCCAGACUCCUACGGGAGGCAGCAGUGGGGAAUAUUGCACGAUGGGCGCAAGCCUGAUGCAGCGACGCCGCGUGAGGGAUGACGGCCUUCGGGUUGUAAACCUCUUUCAGCACCGACGAAGCGCAAGUGACGGUAGGUGCAGAAGAAGGACCGGCCAACUACGUGCCAGCAGCCGCGGUAA